rnacentral:rRNA from 1 species
GUACCCUACUACAUGGAUACCUGUGGUAAUUCUAGAGCUAAUACAUGCGCAAAACCCCGACUUCGGAAGGGGUGUAUUUAUUAGAUAAAAAACCAAUGCCCUUCGGGGCUCCUUGGUGAUUCAUAAUAACUUCACGAAUCGCAUGGCCUUGCGCCGGCGAUGGUUCAUUCAAAUUUCUGCCCUAUCAACUUUCGAUGGUAGGAUAGUGGCCUACCAUGGUGGCAACGGGUAACGGGGAAUUAGGGUUCGAUUCCGGAGAGGGAGCCUGAGAAACGGCUACCACAUCCAAGGAAGGCAGCAGGCGCGCAAAUUACCCAAUCCCGAUACGGGGAGGUAGUGACAAUAAAUACUGAUACAGGGCUCUUUUGGGUCUUGUAAUUGGAAUGAGAACAAUCUAAAUCCCUUAACGAGGAACAAUUGGAGGGCAAGUCUGGUGCCAGCAGCCGCGGUAAUUCCAGCUCCAAUAGCGUAUAUUAAAGUUGUUGCAGUUAAAAAGCUCGUAGUUGAACCUUGGGCCCGUCCUGCCGGUCCGCCUCACCGCGAGUACUGGUCCGGAUGGGCCUUUCUUUCUGGGGAAUCCCAUGGCCUUCACUGGCUGUGGCGGGGAACCAGGACUUUUACUGUGAAAAAAUUAGAGUGUUCAAAGCAGGCCUUUGCUCGGAUACAUUAGCAUGGAAUAAUAGAAUAGGACGUGCGGUUCUAUUUUGUUGGUUUCUAGGACCGCCGUAAUGAUUAAUAGGGAUAGUCGGGGGCGUCAGUAUUCAGCUGUCAGAGGUGAAAUUCUUGGAUUUGCUGAAGACUAACUACUGCGAAAGCAUUCGCCAAGGAUGUUUUCAUUAAUCAGGGAACGAAAGUUAGGGGAUCGAAGACGAUCAGAUACCGUCGUAGUCUUAACCAUAAACUAUGCCGACUAGGGA